rnacentral:lncRNA from 1 species
UGGUAUCGCUUGCGGAUACAUCCCGAACUACAAGAUUUUUCAUCACUUUCAAGAAACAAAGAAAUUCCAAAUGCAGCGAUCUAAUUGAAAGCUAUAUCUUUCUUCUAAGUCUAUAUCUGAUGAGGCUAGUGGUCCCUUAGACCAUGAUGGUAGAAUUUGUCCACAGAAUUCUUCGUACAACUUUAUGGUGCAUCAAAGGUUGUUUUGUAAUAUCGCUUUUGGGAAAUCAUCCACUCAGAUACGCUACCUGACGGAUCAAAUAUAAACUACUCUAUGCAGGUCAAGCUUAAACUGCUGAUACCAAAUAUAAUAUGUGAGAAAUGUAGUUUAAAAGUGUUAAACUUUUUUUUAAAUAUUAAGUAAUCAAUUAUUAUCUAUAAGCUUAGUUAUUACUUAAAAAGAUCUUAAAUUUCAAUAUUUGAUCAAAAAAUUUAAUCAUGAAGUUUCCACCACGAGAAAAUAAAAAUAAAACUUUCUGCUGCGUGUAUGGGUGUAAUAGCAAGUCUAGUAAGAACAAUACAGUUCGAUUUUACACUUUUCCUUCGGCAAAUUCUAGUUUUGUAGUAAUCAAAAAUAAAUUUGGUGAAGAUGAAGUAAUUGAUCGUCGAUUAGCUUGGAUAAAAGCAUUGAAAAUUGGGAAUGAGGUUACACAGUCAAAAAAAGUGUUUUCAUUACAUUUCACCAAAAAUGACUUCAUACCAACAUCCAAUGUUGCGAUAUUGCACCCACAAUUUCAUGCGGUGGAUCUUUUAAACGAGAAGUUUGGAGACAGAAUGCAAUUAUUUUAUACUCAUUAUCACAACUAGUAUCUGAUUGCUGUAGGCCACAUUUCAUUAGAUGUCCCGCAUCAAGUAUAUCUUCACCACCAAUAAAAUUUUUAUGACUAGGCUGAGUAUUUGCAAACUCACAAAUUUCUUGUAUUGAAAUUUUCAUAUUUUAUUGAAUUUUUUUUGAAAAUUCGAGUUUAAUAACUGUAAAUAAAUACACGCUUUCACAUAAGAACACGAAAGCUGAUUUAAAAAUGCGUUUUAGAAUAGUUACUGCUUCUGCCGCAAGGAGAAGCCACGCCCCCGGCAGAUUUCCCAUUACCAAGGUUUUAAAUUUUCAAGUUUUCAGAAUUUAAAAUUAAGUCUUUCUGUAAAAUUAUAGUACUUAAUACAGAUGCAAAAACAAAUCUUCACGUAUGUUGAAUUUCAUUCAGUUAAAUGUUAGUCACCUCGAAGUACCAGUUCACAAGAUGAAAGAUUAUUCUUACGUUUGAUGUUGAUUAGCUUUCUACUAUCAAGUAUUGUGCGAUGUGAUGUUUCUUAUUCAAAAUUUUUUAUUUCAUAGUGCCUGAUUUAAUAACAAGAUUUACUUGAAGUUUUGAUGGAUAAACUUUAAUCGAAAACUUAAUUUGGUGUUAUUAUCAAUACUACAUGAUGAAUAUUUGAAUAAUUAAGAAAUUUGAGUAGCUUGAAACUCUUGCAAGUAAGCUUUUUUACACACUGAUUCAAUGUGUAUAGUAUAAUGGAUGAAAAUAAUCUUCGCGUGUUCCAAAAUCUUAACUAAGUCAAAAUAUACAAAUUAGUAAACUGUAAUAAAUUAUUAGACUAGUUCAAAUUAGUUUGAUGAAUUGCAGAGCUCUCGACGAGGCAAGACGUAGAACUAGUAGUCUUCUGAAUCCCAAGUUUAUGCUUAUGUAAUCAAGUAAAUUUGGUUUGACAGUCUACAAAGUCUCUUACCAGGCUGCACGCUGCGAAUAAACCAUCUUAAAAUAACCAUGAUCAACAAAAUCAUGAUUUGGAAUAACCAAAACAAUACUUUGCAUGUCGAAGUUACCAAUAUCUAAAAAAAGUAGUUUAUGUAAAAGAACGAGUAAUAAAUAAAUUUGUAAAAUAUAUUAGAUAGCAGUUGCCACUCCUUCGCUUGCAAUUACGCAGCAGCAGCAGCGUUCAGUAGCACAGGUAUAGUUGAGUGUCAAAAGUAGACAGUAUUCACUGCUUAUAUAUCACUCCGAAUGUUAUAUCAAGUUUCAAUUAUGCGUAUCAGUAGUAUGUUAUUUAAAUGUAUUUUGAUGAAGGAUGAAGACAUUUAUGUACAUAUAGUGUUUUCUUACAAUGAUUUUUGGUAUCAAGUGAUUCAAUGCAUACAUUUUCAUCAAUUCCGACUGACACGGAAUCUCUGCACUAGGAUUUUUUGAAGUCCCCCCGAUAUGUAGGGAAUGUGCUAUAGUGGUCGGCUACUUUAAAAAGUAGGCUCAGUAAAUGAUCACUCAGUGGUUAACCACUAUUAAUGGUUGGUCACAGCUAUUUCGUUAUGGAAAUUUAUUACCUGUCAACCCAUUGAAAAAGUAAUUAUGUCAUGGAAGUAUAGAUGUAAACUAAUAAAACAUUGUACGUAAUUAGUUAUAAAAAUAUGUGGUUACGAAAAUUUUUCAAAACAAGAUGAUAAGUAUGGAUGAAAUGGAUAAGUUUCGGUUUAAUCAACAACUUUUCUGGUUAAAGAAAUGUACACCCAAUUCUAGCAGGAGAUAAAACAAAAGAAAACUAGUGGCCGAUCACUAGUACAUUCACCUUAAGUACUUUCCUAACUGCUGUAAAACGAUAAUGUCGAGAUAUUUAAAGUUAGGAGCAGCGAUUACCAACAACCUUUUUAUCAUCGGAUAUUCGAAAAUAGUAAAACCAGUAAUAUGUGACUAAAACGUGAAUUAUUAUUGUAAACGUAGUUUCUUUUCAUUGAGCAACAUAAAUAUAUAAAACUUGUAUUCGUAGUCAAACGAACCACGUAUGAAAUAAAUCCACUGUAAUGAAAUUUGAUGUUCGAGGUCCAUUACAAAUAAUGCAUUGAAAAUAAAUUGUUACAAAACAAAAUUAUUCACUUAUCGCAAGAUAGAAACUUUCGAAACAUAGUCAAGUUUCAUUUUAAAAAAAUCCAAAAACCAAGAUUCAAUACUAAGAAGUACUUUACACCGAAAUUUGUUCAUUUGAAUGUACAACGAGAAAUACUUCGAUUAUCUGAUUCACUAAAGAUGAAAAUAAGCCUUAAAAAAGUGCAAACUUACGUGAGAAUGUGAAAGGUACAUUAUGGUGCAAUUCACAUACAAAAAAAAGGAAACUCAACUACUAAAAAGGCUUCUUCCUCUACCAAUUAUAUUCUUUUAUUAUUACUUUAGAGUGCUGAUUUUCAGUUUUUGUGAUUAUAGUUAAACUAUCAUUUGUUACUCUAUCGAAGAUUAGCUAGUUAAAUCAAUAACUAUAGAUUCAUCUUGUAAAGUAGAUAAAUGUGCAAUUUAGGUUGCAAAUAUUCACUCUUUGUUCGGUUAAAAUUAAAUCUUGUAGCUGUACCUAAUUGUUAUCAAAUAACCAUAGUUUGUCAAUAUUCAUUUAUCAAAUUGUCAUAUAUUACUUAUUGUUUAUGGUCUGAACAUGAAACCGCAAUGCUCU